UACGGAGGGUGCAAGCGUUAUCCGGAUUCACUGGGUUUAAAGGGUGCGUAGGAGGGCAGGUAAGUCAGUGGUGAAAUCUCCAAGCUUAACUUGGAACUGCCGUUGAUACUAUCUGUCUUGAAUACCGUGGAGGUGAGCGGAAUAUGUCAUGUAGGCGGUGAAAUGCUUAGAUAUGACAUAGAACACCAAUUGCGAAGGCAGCUCGCUACACGAAUAUUGACUCUGAGGCACGAAAGCGUGGGGAUCAAACAGG
rnacentral:rRNA from 1 species